AGUCAAUAGAUACCCAGGUAGUCCACGCCCUAAACGGUGCCAACUAGGUGUUGGGGAAGGAGACUUCCUUAGUACCGUAGCUAAACGCGUGAAAGUUGGCCGCCUGGGGAGUACGGUCGCAAGAUUAAAACUCAAAGGAAUUGACGGGGACCCGCACAAGCGGUGGAUGAUGUGGAUUAAUUCGAUGCAACGCGAAAAACCUUACCUACCCUUGACAUGCCAGGAAUCCUGCUGAGAGGUGGGAGUGCCCGAAAGGGAGCCUGGACACAGGUGCUGCAUGGCUGUCGUCAGCUCGUGUCGUGAGAUGUUGGGUUAAGUCCCGCAACGAGCGCAACCCUUGUCAUUAGUUGCCAUCAUUCAGUUGGGCACUCUAAUGAGACUGCCGGUGACAAACCGGAGGAAGGUGGGGAUGACGUCAAGUCCUCAUGGCCCUUAUGGGUAGGGCUUCACACGUCAUACAAUGGUCGGUACAGAGGGUUGCCAAGCCGCGAGGUGGAGCCAAUCCCAGAAAGCCGAUCGUAGUCCGGAUCGGAGU
rnacentral:rRNA from 1 species